rnacentral:rRNA from 1 species
UACGGGAGGCAGCAGUGGGGGAUAUUGCACAAUGGGGGGAACCCUGAUGCAGCGACGCCGCGUGAGCGAAGAAGUGCUUCGGCAUGUAAAGCUCUAUCGGUGGGGAAGAAGAUGACGGUACCCACAGAAGAAGCCCCGGCUAACUACGUGCCAGCAGCCGCGGUAAU